UGAAGCAAGUAGACAUUAGCGGUUACUGACAAUUUAUGUCUUGAAUUUCCUUAGAUGACGAACUUAACCAGUUGAGAUCCAUCGUACAGCUGAGUUUUGGACUGUAACUUCUCUGGAAGUCAAACCCUGCUCUAUUAAAUGGAGCUGAGGGGAAGCUGAAGAAGACACUGGGAAAGCUAUGAUUUCAAACCGGUGUGGGAAACACUAAGGCACUCUUGCUGUGAGAAAAUCUGAGAUUUCAUGGAAAAURUGUUCCAGAGCCUUUUGAACCAGAGUUCCUGUGAGAUGCCAAAUGAAUCACUUAAACCAACUUMUCCUGUGCCCCAUUUCUGGGAAUCUGACCUUGUACGUUUGGAAAAUUGUGAAAUCAGAAGGCACUUGGAAUUUAUGAAUGCUAGAUUAAAUGGGAGGAAAAAAAAAUCAAGUCAUGAAUUGCACCUAUAAUUCGGCUACAUCAAACACCCGUAACUGCAGGGAAUGGAUGGUUUGCAAAGCACUCAGGUAUGUUGCAUUGCAGAAAGGCCUGCAAGGGAAUGAACAAUGUGAUUUGGGGGAUUUGAAUAGUGUACGAUAAAUAAGGCCGGAGGUCAUACAAUGGGCAU
rnacentral:lncRNA from 1 species